rnacentral:rRNA from 1 species
AUUGAACGCUGGCGGCAGGCCUAACACAUGCCAGUCGAGCGGAUGAAGGGAGCUUGCUCCUGGAUUCAGCGGCGGACGGGUGAGUAAUUCCUAGGAAUCUGCCUGGUAGUGGGGGAUAACGUCCGGAAACGGGCGCUAAUACCGCAUACGUCCUGAGGGAGAAAGUGGGGGAUCUUCGGACCUCACGCUAUCAGAUGAGCCUAGGUCGGAUUAGCUAGUUGGUUGGGUAAAGGCCUACCAAGGCGACGAUCCGUAACUGGUCUGAGAGGAUGAUCAGUCACACUGGAACUGAGACACGGUCCAGACUCCUACGGGAGGCAGCAGUGGGGAAUAUUGGACAAUGGGCGAAAGCCUGAUCCAGCCAUGCCGCGUGUGUGAAGAAGGUCUUCGGAUUGUAAAGCACUUUUAGUUGGGAAGAAGAGCAGUAAGUUAAUACCUUGCUGUUUUGACGUUACCAAAAGAAUAAGCACCGGCUAACUUCGUG